GGUCUAUUAGUCUAGUUGGUUAGGACGUCGGAUUCUGAUUCACACCCAGACUCUUCCGUAGGCCCAGGUUCGAAUCCUGGAUGGACCU
rfam:Colletotrichum chlorophyti strain NTL11 CCHL11_scaffold101, whole genome shotgun sequence.